rnacentral:rRNA from 1 species
UGGCGGCCAUAGUGAACGGGAACCACCUGAUUCCAUUCCGAACUCAGAAGUGAAAACGUUUAACGCCGAUGAUAGUAUGGAGUUAUCCAUGUGAAAGUAGGUCACUGCCAG